UCCAAAGGGAUCGCAUUG
rnacentral:snRNA from 1 species